AGAGCUGGCUGGACAGUCGCCGCCGGAUGCGUCCGGGGGAGGAAAGUCCGGGCUCCAGCGGGCAAGGUGCCAGGUAACGCCUGGGCGGCGCGAGUCGACGGAAAGUGCCACAGAAAAUAUACCGCCAAAUCUGUUUCGGCAGAAGGUAAGGGUGAAAUGGUGCGGUAAGAGCGCACCGCACGCGUGGUAACAUGUCGUGGCAGGGAAAACCCCACCUGGAGCAAGACCAAAUAGGGAUCCAUACGCGUGGCCCACGCGGGAUCCGGGUAGGUUGCUUGAGCCAGACGGUGACGUCUGGCCUAGAUGAAUGACUGUUCUCGACAGAACCCGGCUUAUAGGCUGGCUCUCGCA
rnacentral:RNase_P_RNA from 1 species